UCUGUCAUAUUUUAGAAUUUUAUAUACAUGGUAUACAGAUACAGAGAUUAGCAUGGCCCCUGCGCUAGGAUGACACGCAAAUUCGUGAAGUGUUCCAUAUUAAA